rnacentral:rRNA from 1 species
GAUGAACGCUGGCGGCGUGCCUAAUACAUGCAAGUCGAGCGAACAGACGAGGAGCUUGCUCCUCUGACGUUAGCGGCGGACGGGUGAGUAACACGUGGAUAACCUACCUAUAAGACUGGGAUAACUUCGGGAAGCCGGAGCUAAUACCGGAUAAUAUAUUGAACCGCAUGGUUCAAUAGUGAAAGACGGUUUUGCUGUCACUUAUAGAUGGAUCCGCGCCGCAUUAGCUAGUUGGUAAGGUAACGGCUUACCAAGGCAACGAUGCGUAGCCGACCUGAGAGGGUGAUCGGCCACACUGGAACUGAGACACGGUCCGGACUCCUACGGGAGGCAGCAGUAGGGAAUCUUCCGCAAUGGGCGAAAGCCUGACGGAGCAACGCCGCGUGAGUGAUGAAGGUCUUCGGAUCGUAAAACUCUGUUAUUAGGGAAGAACAAAUGUGUAAGUAACUAUGCACGUCUUGACGGUACCUAAUCAGAAAGCCACGGCUAACUACGUG